rnacentral:rRNA from 1 species
GGCGGAUUAGUGGCGAACGGGUGAGUAACACGUGAGCAAUCUGCCCUUGACUCUGGGAUAACUACUCGAAAGAGUAGCUAAUACCGGAUACGACACCUUGGGGCAUCCCGAGGUGUGGAAAGAAUUUCGGUCAAGGAUGAGCUCGCGGCCUAUCAGCUUGUUGGUGAGGUAAAAGCUCACCAAGGCGACGACGGGUAGCCGGCCUGAGAGGGUGACCGGCCACACUGGGACUGAGACACGGCCCAGACUCC